rnacentral:rRNA from 1 species
GUCUAUUUGUAGGUAAAAAAAGUCUAACCUGCCCACUGAUUAGAAAGAUUUAAGGGCCGCAGUAUUAUGACUGUGCAAAGGUAGCAUAAUCAUUAGGUUUUUAAAUGGAAUCUUGUAUGAAUGGUUGAACAAAGGGGAAGCUGUCUUUAUAUUAAAAUUUUAAUUUUACUUUUAAGUGAAAAGGCUUAAAUAUUUUAGAGGGACGAUAAGACCCUAUAAAGCUUUAUAUUUUAAUUAUGUUUAAUUAAAUUUAUAAGUUAUAAAAAUUUAAUAUUAUUAUUUGUUGUGUUGGGGAGACAGGAGAGGAAGUAAUUAAUAGCCGCUCCAAGGAGUGUACAUUUAUAUAUGGUAUAAUUGUUAAUAAUAGAUCCUAAAUAUAGAUUUAAAGUUUAAGUUACUUUAGGGAUAACAGUAUAAUUUUUUUUGAGAGUUCAUAUCGAAAAAGAAGUUUGUAACCUCGAUGUUGAAUUAAAAUAUCUAUAUAAUGUAGCCGUUAUAUAAGAGGGUCUGUUCGACCUUUAAUUUUUU